CACAACGCUGCCGACACUCUGUUCCCUGUGAUUGCUUUGAAGCUGGGAUUCAUCAGGCUGCUGCUUGAUUCCGCCUUUCAUACAUCGACACCGGUGAUCUACACAUUCUCAAAACUUUCAUUCUGUGUCAAGUUCCAUGCAUUUUCGCCAUGGUGAUGGAUGCUAACUUUUAGAUCGAUCACAUCUACAGUUGGUCCUCGUUAUCCAAACAGGUCUAAAUGCUUCAAGUGUUUGAUAGAUUUGCAGAGGUCUCUUCAAGAGGAUUAGUUUUCACCCAUGUUACGAGAGAUAAAAAGGUGGAGGGAUUUCGAAAGAGAUUCAGAAGAGUUGUGUUCUUUGUUUUGUACUUUCAAGCUGUAAGAAUAAUGUGGAUGCCAUGAGAGAUGGAGUAAGAUUAUUGGAGCGUUUAUUACUGCUGUUACAUGGCAAACUGAACUAAUAUGAUUGCAGAUUUGAUUCGGUGGAUCACUGACAAAAUUGGGAUAAGACCUAAUAUGAGUAACUAUUACUUUUAUCCAUAAUAAUAUAAAUAGAGAUUUCACCACCCACACUGUACACACCUUGUGUACAACUUUAGAACCACAUA
rnacentral:lncRNA from 1 species